UGUGCCCAUGGUUCUAAAGAAAGCAUGAAAGCGCCUUUUAUUCAUUUGGAGCGAAGACAGUGUGCUGAAAAAAGGAUUUAUGAUGAUGAACUGAUUAUCCCACAAAUGAGAAGGAAUCGCGGUUAGUUUUGGUACUACUAAAACAACCGAUGCUUUUGACGUCUUCACCUUGCAACAUUACGCAGUUAAUUUUUGCCGUAACAAUGGGAGGCAAUUGGAAAUUAAUUAAUUUGGAUGCAACGGGAACAACAAAUUAUCUGCAGAGGUAUGCCUCCUAGAUUUGGUUGGUUUGCUCAUCACACUGGUAGACUUUAGAACGCCACUUUCUACAACUAAUUAAGGUUAUACAAUAAAUGAGAGAGAAUUAU